rnacentral:rRNA from 1 species
UACGUAGGGGGCAAGCGUUGUCCGGAAUUAUUGGGCGUAAAGAGCGUGUAGGCGGCCAGAUAAGUCCGCUGUGAAAUCUCGAGGCUCAACUUCGAGCUGUCGGUGGAAACUAUCUGGCUAGAGUCCGGAAGAGGAGAAUGGAAUUCCUGGUGUAGCGGUGAAAUGCGCAGAUAUCAGGAAGAACACCCGCUGGCGAAGGCGGUUCUCUGGGACGGUACUGACGCUGAGACGCGAAAGCGUGGGGAGCGAACAGG